CCUACGGGAGGCAGCAGUGGGGAAUAUUGCACAAUGGGCGAAACCCUGAUGCAGCGACGCCGCGUGAGGGAUGAAGGACUUCGGUACGUAAAGCUCUAUCAGCAGGGAAGAAAAUGACGGUACCUGAUCAAGAAGCCCCGGCUAACUACGUGCCAGCAGCCGCGGUAAUACGUAGGGGGCAAGCGUUAUCCGGAUUUACUGGGUAGAACGGGAGCGUAGAUGGCAGCGCAAGUCUAGAGUGAAAUGCCGGGGCUUAACCCCGGAACUGCUUUGGAAACUGUGCAGCUGGAGUGCAGGAGAGGUAAGUGGAAUUCCUAGUGUAGCGGUGAAAUGCGUAGAUAUUAGGAGGAACACCAGUGGCGAAGGCGGCUUACUGGACUGUAACUGACGCUGAGGAUCGAAAGCGUGGGGAGCAAACAGGAUUAGAUACCCCAGUAGUC
rnacentral:rRNA from 1 species